rnacentral:rRNA from 1 species
AUUGAACGCUGGCGGCAUGCUUUACACAUGCAAGUCGAACGGUAACAGGCCGCAAGGUGCUGACGAGUGGCGAACGGGUGAGUAAUGCAUCGGAACGUGCCCAGUCGUGGGGGAUAACGCAGCGAAAGUUGCGCUAAUACCGCAUACGAUCUAUGGAUGAAAGCGGGGGACCGUAAGGCCUCGCGCGAUUGGAGCGGCCGAUGUCAGCUUAGGUAGUUGGGGGGGGAAAGGCUCACCAAGCCUACGAUCUGUAGCUGGGCUGAGAGGACGACCAGCCACACUGGAACUGAGACACGGACCAGACUCCUACGGGAGGCAGCAGUGGGGAAUUUUGGACAAUGGGCGAAGGCCUGAUCCAGCCAUUCCGCGUGCAGGAUGAAGGCCUUCGGGUUGUAAACUGCUCUUGUACGGAACGAAACGGCGAGCUCUAAUACAGUUUGCUAAUGACGGUACCGUAAGAAUAAGCACCGGCUAACUACGUGCCAGCCGCCGCCGUAAGAC